rnacentral:pre_miRNA from 1 species
GUUAACCUGUGUGUGGAUGGUGUUUAGCACCAAGGACAGGCAUGUUUGCGUGUGUGGAUGGUGUUCAGCACCAGGGACAGGUGUGCUCACCU